CACCGCGGUUAUACGAGAGACCCGAGUUGACAGUUAUCGGCGUAAAGCGUGGUUAAACAUUAUUACAAACUAAAGCCGAAAGCAUUCAUAGCAGUUAUACGCCCAUGAAAGUAAGAAGCCCACACACGAAAGUUGCUUUAUGAAAUUUUGACUCCACGAAAACUGGGGCA
rnacentral:rRNA from 1 species